UACGAGGGGGGCGAGCGUUGUUCGGAAUUAUUGGGCGUAAAGGGUGCGUAGGCGGUUUGGUAAGUCUCUUGUGAAAUCUAUGGGCUCAACUCAUAGUCUGCAAGGGAAACUGCCGGGCUUGAGUGUGGGAGAGGUGAGUGGAAUUUCCGGUGUAGCGGUGAAAUGCGUAGAUAUCGGAAGGAACACCUGUGGCGAAAGCGGCUCACUGGACCACAACUGACGCUGAUGCACGAAAGCUAGGGGAGCAAACAGG
rnacentral:rRNA from 2 species